GCUUCGGGUAGUUUUAAGUAUUACAAUUGCAGGGGUGCCUUAAUAGAGAAUCGUAUACGACAAGCCAGUCUUAUAGUCACCUAAACAACUUUAGCUUAAUGAAGCUGUUUUAGUGUAUAGAUCAUGCCUCGGGUUUCACUGCUCAAUUCUCUGCCAUUUAAGAGUUAAAUCACUUUGUUUCUGUUUAUGCACCCCUUGCCACACCUCCCCUGGCUCUGAUUUGACACAGUCUGCAUGAAAAAAAAAACUGGUUUCACGUUCAAUCAGAUGUAAUUUACCUUAAACAAUUUUCUCUUUCUCUGUAAUUUGAACUUUAACCCUUAAGGACGCAAGCAAUUUUUGCAUUUUUUUGCGGUUUGUGUUCAACUGCAAUUUGCAUCUCUCUCAUUU